GUAGAAAUCGUUGGUCCGAACAGGAGGAAACUGUAAUAGCCCAGGAAAUAAUUAAAAACUAUGAUGUCCUGUUCGGCCCAAUGACCGGUUGUGGCGCACUCAAAAUUGGAGAGGUUCGAAGGAGAGGCUGGGAAGCCGUGGCAAAUGUUCUAAACUGCCAAUUUUCCACCUAUAAGCGCGCAGGUUCAGAGGUGAAGAAAAAAUACUAUAACAUGAAAGACAAAACAAAGACAAAAAAUGAUGAGAUGAGGAGGC